AACGAACGCUGGCGGCAUGCCUAACACAUGCAAGUCGAACGAGACCUUCUGGUCUAGUGGCGCACGGGUGCGUAACGCGUGGGAACCUGCCCUUAGUUUCUUAAUAACUCCCCGAAAGGGGUUCUAAUACCGGAUAAUGUCUUCGGACCAAAGAUUUAUCGCCUUUGGAUGGGCCCGCGUUGGAUUAGCUAGUUGGUAGGGUAAAAGCCUACCAAGGCGACGAUCCAUAGCUGGUCUGAGAGGAUGAUCAGCCACACUGGGACUGAGACACGGCCCAGACUCCUACGGGAGGCAGCAGUGGGGAAUAUUGGACAAUGGGCGAAAGCCUGAUCCAGCAAUGCCGCGUGAGUGAUGAAGGCCUUAGGGUUGUAAAGCUCUUUUACCCGGGAUGAUAAUGACAGUACCGGGAGAAUAAGCUCCGGCUAACUCCGUG
rnacentral:rRNA from 1 species